rnacentral:rRNA from 1 species
UCGAGAAUUUUUCACAAUGGGGGCAACCCUGAUGGAGCGACGCCGCGUGGAGGAUGAAGGUCUUCGGAUUGUAAACUCCUGUCAAACGGGAACAAGAAAGUGAUAGUACCGUUAGAGGAAGAGACGGCUAACUCUGUG